AGAGCUAUAGCUCAGUGGCAGAGCAUUUGCCUAGCAUGCAUGAGACACUGGGUUCAAUCCUUAGCACUA
rnacentral:tRNA from 1 species